rnacentral:rRNA from 1 species
UGGGGAAUCUUGGACAAUGGGGGCAACCCUGAUCCAGCGAUGCCGCGUGAGUGAAGAAGGCCUUCGGGUCGUAAAGCUCUUUAGGUUGGGAAGAAGGUUGUGGGAGGAAAUGCCUGCAGCUUGACGGUACCAGCAGAAUAAGCACCGGCAAACUCUGUGCCAGCAGCCGCGGUAAUACAGAGGGUGCGAGCGUUAAUCGGAGUUACUGGGCGUAAAGGGCGCGUAGGUGGUUUUGUGUGAAUGAUGUGAAAGCCCCGGGCUUAACCUGGGAAGUGCAUCGUUAACUGCAAGACUUGAGUAGGUGAGAGGGUAGCGGAAUUUCCGGUGUAGCGGUGAAAUGCGUAGAGAUCGGAAGGAACGUCAAUGGCGAAGGCAGCUACCUGGCACCAUACUGACACUGAGGCGCGAAAGCGUGGGGAGCGAACA